rnacentral:rRNA from 1 species
GGGAAUANNUUUCUACNGUAGAGAGCUGAANGUACGAAGGAAUANGAUNGCUAACUCCGUGCCAGCAGCNNCGGUAAUACGGAGGANCCAAGCGUUAUCCCGGAUUUNUGGGUUUAAAGGGUGCGUAGGCGGCUUAUUAAGUCAGGGGUGAAAGACGGUGGCUCAACCAUCGCAGUGCCUUUGAUACUGAUGAGCUUGAAUGAACUAGAGGUAGGCGGAAUGUGACAAGUAGCGGUGAAAUGCAUAGAUAUGUCACAGAACACCGAUUGCGAAGGCAGCUUACUAUGGUUUUAUUGACGCUGAGGCACGAAAGCGUGGGGAUCAAACAGGAUUAGAUACCCUGGUAGUCCACGCCCUAAACGAUGAAUACUCGCUGUUAGCGAUACACAGUUAGCGGCUAAGCGAAAGCGUUAAGUAUUCCACCUGGGGAGUACGCCCGCAAGGGUGAAACUCAAAGGAAUUGACGGGGGCCCGCACAAGCGGAGGAGCAUGUGGUUUAAUUCGAUGAUACGCGAGGAACCUUACCCGGGCUUGAAAGUUAGUGAAUCAUUUAGAGAUAGAUGAGUCCGCAAGGACACGAAACUAGGUGCUGCAUGGCUGUCGUCAGCUCGUGCCGUGAGGUGUUGGGUUAAGUCCCGCAACGAGCGCAACCCCUAUGUUUAGUUGCCAGCACGUUAUGGUGGGGACUCUAAACAGACUGCCUGUGCAAACAGAGAGGAAGGAGGGGACGACGUCAAGUCAUCAUAGCCCUUACGUCCGGGGCUACACACGUGCUACAAUGGAUGGUACAGAGGGCAGCAAGCUGGCAACAGCAAGCAAAUCUCAAAAAGCCAUUCACAGUUCGGAUAGAGGUCUGCAACUCGACCUCUUGAAGUUGGAUUCGCUAGUAAUCGCGUAUCAGCAAUGACGCGGUGAAUACGUUCCCGGGCCUUGUACACACCGCCCGUCAAGCCAUGGAAGUUGGGGGUACCUAAAGUAUGUAACCGCAAGGAGCGUCCUAGGGUAAAACCGAUAACUGGGGCUAAGUCGUAACAAGGUAAC